rnacentral:hammerhead_ribozyme from 1 species
UGCCGAAACGCCGGGAGGCGUCGUCACGGGGUGGUGCCCGUGGCCUGACGACGGCAGCCGUCA